rnacentral:rRNA from 1 species
UACGUAUGGUGCAAGCGUUAUCCGGAUUUACUGGGCGUAAAGGGAGCGCAGGCGGCGCGCCAAGUCUGAUGUGAAACCCCGGAGCUCAACCCCGGGCAUGCAUUGGAAACUGGCGGGCUGGAGUGCCGGAGAGGUAAGCGGAAUUCCUAGUGUAGCGGUGAAAUGCGUAGAUAUUAGGAGGAACACCAGUGGCGAAGGCGGCUUACUGGACGGCAACUGACGCUGAGGCUCGAAAGCGUGGGGAGCAAACAGG